rnacentral:piRNA from 1 species
AGUAGAAUUUCCAGGAGGAG